rnacentral:rRNA from 1 species
ACCGGAUAUUUUUUUCUCUUUCGUGGGAGAUGUUUGAAAGGUGUUUUCUUCUAUCUUUUACAGGGGGCCCCGCGGCGUUUUAUUUAGUUGGUGGGGUAACGUCUCACCAGGGCAACGAUGCAUAGCCGACCUGAGAGGGUGAUCGGCCACACUGGGACUGAGACACGGCCCAGACUCCUACGGGAGGCAGCAGUAGUGAAUCUUCCGCAAUGGACGAAAGUCUGACGGAGCAACGGCGCGUGAGUGAUGAAGGCUUUCGGGUCGUAUAUCUCUGUUGUUAGAAAAGAACAAGUACGAGAGUAACUGCUCGUACCUUGACGGUACCUAACCAGAAAGGCUCGGUUUAACUACGUGCCAGCAGCCGCGGUUAUACGUAGGUGGCUAAGCGUUAUCUCGUAAAUUAUUGGGCGUAAAGCGCGCGCAGCCUUUUUUUCUUAAAGUUUUGAUGUGAAAAGCCCCACCGCUUCAACCCG